rnacentral:rRNA from 1 species
AGAACGAACGCUGGCGGCGUGGAUAAGACAUGCAAGUCGAACGGGACAUAUUUGGUAGCAAUAUUGAGUAUGUUCAGUGGCGUAAGGGUGCGUAACACGUGGGUAAUUUGCCGUGAAGACUGGGAUAACUUGCUGAAAGGCGAGCUAAUACCGGAUGUGGUCACGAGAAGGCAUCUUCUUGGGACUGAAGUUGGGGACCGCAAGGCCUAACACUUUACGAUAAGCCCGCGGCCUAUCAGCUAGUUGGUGAGGUAACGGCUCACCAAGGCUAAGACGGGUAGCUGGUCUGAGAGGACGACCAGCCACACUGGAACUGAGACACGGUCCAGACACCUACGGGUGGCAGCAGUCGAGAAUUUUUCACAAUGGGGGAAACCCUGAUGGAGCGACGCCGCGUGGGGGAUGAAUGGCUUCGGCCCGUAAACCCCUGUCAUUUGCGAACAGACCUCUUUGCCUAACACGUGAAGAGCUGAUGUAGCGAAAGAGAAGGACGCUAACU